rnacentral:rRNA from 1 species
GCCUCAGUUCGGAUUGUAGUCUGCAACCCGACUACAUGAAGCCGGAAUCGCUAGUAAUCGCGAAUCAGAAUGUCGCGGUGAAUACGUUCCCGGGUCUUGUACACACCGCCCGUCAAGCCAUGGAAGCCGGGAGUGCCUGAAGUAUGCAACCGCAAGGAGCGUCCUAAGGUAAAACCGGUGACUGGGGCUAAGUCGUAACAAGGUAUC